rnacentral:rRNA from 1 species
GACAGAGGGUGCGAGCGUUGCUCGGAAUUACUGGGCGUAAAGCGCGCGUAGGCGGCUUUGCAAGUCGGGUGUGAAAUCCCCAGGCUUAACCUGGGAACUGCAUUCGAGACUGCAUUGCUAGAGUAUGGGAGAGGGAAGCGGAAUUUCUGGUGUAGCAGUGAAAUGCGUAGAUAUCAGAAGGAACAUCAGUGGCGAAGGCGGCUUCCUGGACCAAUACUGACGAUCAGGUGCGAAAGCGUGGGGAGCAAACAGG